GCUUUUCCUUCCCCAACUCUUAUUCUCAUCGGUGAUUGGCUCUAGUACGUCACAGCCAUGGCUCAGUUUGAGGUUCCGAUCUCAGUGAAAUGGAUAUGGUCGAUUGAUGUGGUGCUCUGCUACUACAAUAUGGUAUAAUAGUACUACUUGGUAACUUCACCUCUUCACCAACUGCUGUCCCUUUGGAUAAUUUUGUUUGCCAUAUAUUGUAGCUGAAUUCUUGGUACACCAACCGAUCUACUGCAUACACCUUUGCUAUGAAACAAGUGUGAAUCUGAACUUGCUAUGACUGAUGGCUGCCCCUUCAUUGGAUGAAUGCAUAUCCAAACUUUUUGCUAUUUAACCCUUUGUGAUUAUGAACUUGAGAAAUAGAGGCAAGGCUCGAUCCCAAGUUACAUCAAUUUCCCAACAUUGUUGUAGCUGGAAUUACUAGUUGUAUACCUUAUUGGUGCUAAGUUGCAUACUCAUUGUUUGCUAAGUUGCAUACCUCAUAUGUGAAGUUAAGCAGAUAAAAGUUUUUAGUUGCAUAUUAAUCUUUGUUCCUCGUGUUUUCUCUUCUCCAAUUGGGAUCCAUGUUGUACCAAUGAGAUUCUUUUUUUAUGAAUGUAAAUGUUUAAUGGUGAUCCUGUUUUCCUCAUACCAAAACUUAGUUUCUUAUUUGAAAUGUUGAGUGAAUAUGUUUCUAGAAUAGUAAAUCUAUAUCAAAAUUUAUAGCAUAUGUUCUAUGUGCAGCUGAUAAGGCUCUAAGAGAUGCAAAGGUGCUGCCUUCGGGAGAUGACAAGAAGGAACGAAUGGUACUAGUUUCAUUUGCACACUAUAAUGAAUAACGAGAAUGACAGGCGUUCCCGACUGCGGUUACCACAAGUUGCUGGAGCAGCCAGUAACUCAGCCCAAACAGAUGUUCCUGGCGCAUUUAGGAAGACUACCGUUGCCCCAACUACAAAUUUGGCACCAAAAACUGCUCCUGCACGACCCUUUAAGGAUAGCGUAUAUUGGAGUUGCAGCUUCUUCAGACAAUUCCGGAGAUCCUAGGAGAUCUGAAGGAGGAAGAAGAGCUUGAAUUAUUCUUGCAGGAAGCAUCCGGACGAGAGGGAUGGUGAGGCAGAGGGGGUGGUUGGGGUGCAGUACCCGUCUAGGGUGGUAGAUAAAGACGUGGUCCUCUUAUGUUUUUGCACCGUCAGUGCUAAACUGUUUUGUUUGGACAUGAGGUGGUCUAUCCCUAGCUUUUUUCC